UUACGGGAGGCAGCAGUCGAGAAUUUUUCACAAUGGGGGCAACCCUGAUGGAGCGACGCCGCGUGGGGGAUGAAUGGCUUCGGCCCGUAAACCCCUGUCAUUUGCGAUCAAUGCGUGUUGUUUAAGAGAUGACACGUUGAUAGUAGCGAAAGAGGAAGGGACGGCUAACUCUGUGCCAGCAGCCGCGGUAAUACAGAGGUCCCGAGCGUUGUUCGGAUUCACUGGGCGUAAAGGGUGCGUAGGUGGUGAGGUAAGUCGGAUGUGAAAUCUCGGAGCUCAACUCCGAAACGGCAUUGGAAACUACCUUGCUGGAGGGUUGGAGGGGGGACUGGAAUUCUCGGUGUAGCAGUGAAAUGCGUAGAUAUCGAGAGGAACACCAGUGGCGAAGGCGAGUCCCUGGACAACACCUGACACUGAGGCACGAAAGCUAGGGGAGCAAACAGGAUUAGAUACCCCGGU
rnacentral:rRNA from 1 species